rnacentral:rRNA from 1 species
GCAACGCGAGGGCCAGGGUCGGCGUGAAUAAGGAGGGUGCAAGCGUUAGUCGGAAUGACUGGGCGUAAAGCGCACGCAGGCGGGUGGAUAAGUUAGAUGUGAAAGCCCCGGGCUCAACCUGGGAAUUGCAUUUAAAACUGUCCAGCUAGAGUCUUGUAGAGGGGGGUAGAAUUCCAGGUGUAGCGGUGAAAUGCGUAGAGAUCUGGAGGAAUACCGGUGGCGAAGGCGGCCCCCUGGACAAAGACUGACGCUCAGGUGCGAAAGCGUGGGGAGCAAACAGGAUUAGAUACCCGAGUAGUC